rnacentral:rRNA from 1 species
UCGCUAGUAAUCGCGGAUCAGCAUGCCGCGGUGAAUACGUUCCCGGGCCUUGUACACACCGCCCGUCACACCAUGAGAGUCGGGAACACCCGAAGUCCGUAGUCUAACUUUCACGAGAGGACGCGGCCGAAGGUGGGUUCGAUAAUUGGGGUGAAGUCGUAACAAGGUACC